CCCCCCGUUGCAAAUUGCAAAAUCGUGCGGUUCCCCCCUCCCCGAAUUGCAUCCCUCUGGGUGCAGAUUGGGGACAAACGGUGCAGAAUUGGUGCAAACGGGCGCUGUGUCUGCAGGGGGCCAUGGAGGAGCAGCGCCAGGAGGGUCCCGGCGGAGGGGGCCACCAAGAUGGCGUCCGUGGUGGCCACCAAGUGGUCAUCCUUAGGGACAAGCAAGAUGGCGGCCAUGGGGACAAACAAGAUGGCGGCCGUAGGGACAAACAAGAUGGCGGCCUCCGAGACGUCGGUCACAGGGACAACCAAGAUGGCGGCCGUCAAGAUGGCGGCCGUGGGGACGAACAAGAUGGCGGCCAUCAAGAUGGCGGCCACAUGGUCAACCAAGAUGGCGGCCACGGUGGUCAUCAAGAUGGCGGCCAUAGGGACAAACGAGAGGGUGGCCACCAAGAUGGCGGCCAUAGGGACAACCAAGAUGGUGGCCGUGGCCACAGCGUUACCCAUGGUGGCCACCAAGACGGCACCCACAGAGACAACCAAAAUGGCGGCCAUGUUGGCCACCACAACAUCGCCCAUGGCCACGAUGUCACCCACAGUGGCCACCAAGAGGACGUAUAUGGUGGCCACCAAGAUGGCGGCCACCAGGAGGACCACGACGUCACCCAUGGCCACAAUGUCACCCAUGGGAGCCCCCGGAAGGACUACCAUGGCGGCCACCAAGGUGGCCACCACGAUGGUGACAACCAAGACGGUGGCCACGAUGGCCACCAAGACGCUAGCCGUAGUGACAACCAAGAUGGCGGCCACGGCCAUGAUGUCACCCAUGGGUGCCACUGGGAGGAAACCUAUGAGGUGCCACCACCCUACAAGAAGCCACGGCGCUGCCACCGCUGUCCCACCGCCGUGUCACCCGGUGUCACCGCCACCAGCUCCCGCUGCAGGUCCUCCAGUGUCACCUCCACCAUCAGUGUCACCUCCACCAGUGUCACCUCCAUCGGUGUCACCCCAACCAUCGGUGUCACCUCCACCAGGUCCAGAGGUGCCACCACCACCACCCGUUCCCGAGGUGUCACCGUCACCCGGUCCCGAGGUGCCACCACCACCAGGGCUGUGUCCAAAGCCACCGGAGAUGCCACCACCAUGAUGGACACCUCCGGAACGGUGACAACCACCGGAGGUACCGCGGUUGUGAUGGACGCCUCCAAAAGCACCGUCGGAGCUGUCACGGCCACCAGAGGUGCCACCACCAGAAGUGCCACCACCAGAGGUGCCACCACCAGAGUUGCCAUGAGCCUGGUGACAACCACCAAAGGUACAACCAGCAGAGGUACCGCCGGAGACGUCACCAAAGGUAUCACCACCAGAUCUACAACCACCAGAUCUACAACCACCAGAUCUACAGGCACCAGAUCUACAGCCACCAGAGCUGCCACCACCAGAGGUGCAACCACCAGAGCUACAACCGUGAGGGACAUCAGGCGGGUGACAACCACCAGAGGUACAACCGGCGGUGCCACUGGAGAUGACACCGGUGGUACCAUCAGACGUAGUGUUGGGGGUACCAUCAAAAGAACCAUUGGAGAAACCAUCAGAGGAACCAUCGGAGGAACCAUCGGAGAAACCACCAGAGGAACCAUUGGAGAAACCAUCGGAGGAACCACCAGAGGAACCGUCGGAGGAACCAUCAGAGGAACCAUCGGAAACACCACUGGUGAUGACACUGGAGGUACAGUCGGACGUAGCGUUGGAGAAACCAUCGGAGGAACCGGUGGAGAUACCAUCAGAGGAACCAUCAGACGUACCCUGGGAGAUACCAUCAGAAGAACCACCGGAAACACCGUUAGAGGAACCAUCAGCCGUACCACUGGAGCUCCCACCGGAUGUACCAUCGGAAGUACCACCAGAGGAACCACCGGAGCCUCACCUGACGGCACAACCGGUGUCGAUACCACCGGAGAUGAUACCACCACCACCAACGGUGCCCGUGGUCACCCCAAACCCCCCUCAGACCCCACCACCACCCCUCCGGCUGACCCCAAACCCUCCCCAGGCCCCGCCAUCACCGCCAACAGUCCACCCAGCACCCGUGGUGACCCCAAACCC
ensembl:lncRNA